UAGUGACCCUAGAUGCCCAGGGAGAUCCUGCCGCCACACACACACAGUCACAGCGGCUCUCGCCAGCGUGACUGAAGCGCCCUGCUGAGAGCUCAGAUGUCAAGGCUGGGACCUCUGUAGCGGACCCCGCGGACGCACGUGACCUUCCCACGAAGUGCAUUUGCCACCCGAGGAGAAGUCAUGCCACGCGAGCGCCAGUUCGAUUCUUGGAAAACACGCCUGAAUGACGCACAUCAAAAUUCAAUCACACACGAGCACCAUCCAGGCACCCACCUCCACCCCCUUGUUGACUUGAUUAAGCAGCCCAAGUUUGCAUUGGUUUGCACCAAGUGCCUCAACCAAAGGUGGGGGCGGGACUAUUUGUUUGUCCCGACAAUGGAAACCGUAGAAAUGUUGACCGAAACAUUGAAGGAGGGACCCGUACUCAACUCUAUGGUGUGAUGUGGAUUCAGUGCAGCGGUCUCCUGUUGUGUGUGAGGUGUGAUAGGCACUGCACACUUCUUGAGGAGUUGAGGACAGAUUGAGUUCUGUUCUGCUGAACAGCUGUCAUUCCCUGCUCACUGUCAAACAACAUACAGGGAUGCCUGGGGUUCUGACAGCUCUACCGCCAUCCACAACGUUUAUUUAUCUGAGGAGGGAAAGAGAGGCUGGAGUGGAUGAUGGUUCUCACACCUCCGGCUCAGCGUUGAUAUCUGUUCAGAGAGCGGCAGAGGGAAUGAAAGAAUGGAAGGAGGAGGUGCAAAGAAGAGGAGGAGGUGCGCGGGCACGCUCAUUAAGACGGAGGGCAGACUGGCACUGCCUCAACAAACGGGAAAACAAGUGCCGCCAGUCCAGCUCUGCGGAACCACGUCCCCACCGACGGGAACCUCUCCACGGGCCUCUCCGCUAGCCCGGGACACUCA